AACAAGGCGUACCUGCGGACCUGCGGAGGGAUCAUUACAAGUGACCCCGGUUUACCACCGGGAUGUUCAUAACCCUUUGUUGUCCGACUCUGUUGCCUCCGGGGCGACCCUGCCUUCGGGCGGGGGCUCCGGGUGGACACUUCAAACUCUUGCGUAACUUUGCAGUCUGAGUAGACUUAAUUAAUAAAUUAAAACUUUUAACAAUGGAUCU
rnacentral:misc_RNA from 1 species